GACGAACGCUGGCGGCGUGCUUAACACAUGCAAGUCGAGCGGUAAGGCCCUUUCGGGGGUACACGAGCGGCGAACGGGUGAGUAACACGUGGGUGACCUGCCCUCAGCUCUGGGAUAAGCCUGGGAAACCGGGUCUAAUACUGGAUAUGACUCCAUGACGCAUGUUGUGGGGUGGAAAGCCUUGUGCGGCUGAGGAUGGGCCCGCGGCCUAUCAGCUUGUUGGUGGGGUGANGGCCUACCAAGGCGACGACGGGUAGCCGGCCUGAGAGGGCGACCGGCCACACUGGGACUGAGACACGGCCCAGACUCCUACGGGAGGCAGCAGUGGGGAAUCUUGCGCAAUGGGCGAAAGCCUGACGCAGCGACGCCGCGUGAGGGAUGACGGCCUCGGUGUAACGUAC
rnacentral:rRNA from 1 species